GUGAGGACUUCAGUUUGCUUAAAGUUGUUGUUUCAAACUGGUAUGACAGUCACCAUUGUCUUGCUAUGCUGAAACUGUUGUUCAGAGAUCAUGUGGAACAUGGCGAGCUGGCAAGAUUAACUAAAACGUUGGAUUUGCUCAAUAUUUUGUUCAGACUUGAUCAUCUGAGUUCACGGAAACUUAGACUUCUGUGUGAUACAAUUAGCAUAACCAAACAUUUUGGUCUUUCAUCUGAGAUAAAAAAAAAACUGCCAUCAUUCCCAGAUGUAAAGGAAGGAAGCAUUUGCGCAGAUUUCACAUCUCACAGACAGAAGCUAAUGAAAUUUGGAAUGGAACUGACCCCAACCAAUGUGGCGCAGAUCGACGGAUUAUAUAAUACGCCUUGUAAGAACUAUACUGAUUGCUGGGAAAUGAUCACAGAUCUAGAAGAUAAACUGAAAAUCAGUGAAAAAAAUAUGAAGGAAUUCAUUGAUUCGCUGGGAACCAUUAAUCUUCCUCUAAUGGUAUUGAACACACUGACAGAAGGUCUAUAGGCCUUAUCGGCAAAUGCUGUGUGGACACCACUGCUCCUUUUGUUUGCAAUUACCUCACUUGUGACGUUGUAAACCAACCGUUGAGAUGUCUUCUGAAGACAAACCAACUUACGAGUGUCGAAUGUUGCUACAUUCUUCAUUGAUGGAAAAAAAUCUGUUUUUUGAUAGAGAAAAGGAAAAAAUCUUAAAUAGAAAGAUGUCAAUACACUGACAUUACACUGACGAUGAAAUUGAUUCGGCACUUCUGUAGAUCUUACCCAAAACACUUCUGUGUAACACCAGGUGAAUGAGUAGUUAUCAAGCUUGUAAAUCUUAUCCGUAUCCAUCAGUAUCGAAACAAUCAUUUGGUCCAUUGUCCCAACACUAGAAUGU